CUGAACGCCUCUAAGUCAGAAUCCCCCCUAAACGUAAUGAUACCGUAGCGCCGUGGAAGCUUCGGUUGGCCCGGGAUAGCCUGCCUCUUUUGGCAGGUGAGUARAGCCGUUCGUGACAGGGUCGGGGUGCGGCCGAAUGAGUUGCCGCCCCUCUCCUGAUGCGCACCGCAUGUUUGUGGAGAACCUGGUGCUAAAUCACUCGUARACGACCUGAUUCUGGGUCAGGGUUUCGUGCGUAGCAGAGCAGCUCACUCGCUGCA
rnacentral:rRNA from 1 species